CUGGCUCAGGAUGAACGCUAGCUACAGGCUUAACACAUGCAAGUCGAGGGGCAGCAUGAUCAAAGCUUGCUUGAUUGAUGGCGACCGGCGCACGGGUGAGUAACGCGUAUCCAACCUUCCCCUUAGUAGGGCAUAGCCCGUAGAAAUGCGGAUUAAUACCCUAUGUUGUUCAAUGCGGACAUCUAAGUUGAACCAAAGGUUUACCGCUAAGGGAUGGGGAUGCGUCCGAUUAGGCAGCAGGCGGGGUAACGGCCCACCUGGCCGACGAUCGGUAGGGGUUCUGAGAGGAAGGUCCCCCACAUUGGAACUGAGACACGGUCCAAACUCCUACGGGAGGCAGCAGUGAGGAAUAUUGGUCAAUGGGCGAGAGCCUGAACCAGCCAAGUAGCGUGCAAGGAUGACGGCCCUAUGGGUUGUAAACUGCUUUUAUGCGGGGAUAAAGUGCGGCACGUGUGCCGUUUUGUAGGUACCGCAUGAAUAAGGACCGGCUAAUUCCGUGCCAGCCGCUGC
rnacentral:rRNA from 1 species